GAUGAACGCUGGCGGCGUGCUUAACACAUGCAAGUCGAACGGAAAGGCCAGUGCUUGCACUGGUACUCGAGUGGCGAACGGGUGAGUAACACGUGGGUGAUCUGCCCUUCACUUCGGGAUAAGCCUUGGAAACUGGGUCUAAUACCGGAUAGGACAAUGGUUUGGAUGCCGUUGAGGAAAGUUUUUUCGUUGUGGGAUGAGGUCGGGGCCUAUCAGCUUGUUGGUGGGGUGGUGGCGUACCAAGGCUUCGACGGGGAGCCGGCCUGAGAGGGUGGACGGCCACAUUAGAACCGUGAUACAGGCCGCAGUCGUACAGCAGGCAGCAGUGGCGAAUGUCGCACAGAGCGCGGAAGCGUGAGGCAGCGACGUCUCCUGGGCGAUGACCGCUGUCAGGUUGGAAACACAUAUCGGUAAGGACGAAGGGUAGUUGUGACGGUACCUGAAGAAGAAGCACCGGCUAACUACGUG
rnacentral:rRNA from 1 species